rnacentral:rRNA from 1 species
UACGAAGGGUGCAAACGUUGCUCGGAAUUAUUGGGCGUAAAGCGCACGUAGGCGGCAUUGCAAGUCGGAUGUGAAAUCCCUCGGCUUAACCAAGGAAGUGCAUCCGAAACUGCAGUGCUUGAGUACUUAAGAGGAUCGCGGAAUUCCCGGUGUAGAGGUGAAAUUCGUAGAUAUCGGGAGGAACACCAGUGGCGAAGGCGGCGAUCUGGGAAGAUACUGACGCUGAGGUGCGAAAGCUAGGGGAGCAAACGGG